rnacentral:rRNA from 1 species
AGGAAUAUUGGUCAAUGGGCGGAAGCCUGAACCAGCCAUGCCGCGUGCAGGAAGACGGCCCUAUGGGUUGUAAACUGCUUUUGCAGGGGAAUAAACCCCGUUUCGUGAAACGGGCUGAAUGUACUCUGAGAAUAAGGAUCGGCUAACUCCGUGCCAGCAGCCGCGGUAAUACGGAGGAUCCAAGCGUUAUCCGGAUUUAUUGGGUUUAAAGGGUGCGUAGGCGGCUUUUUAAGUCAGGGGUGAAAGACGGUAGCUUAACUAUCGCAGUGCCUUUGAUACUGAAGAGCUUGAAUGGACUAGAGGUAGGCGGAAUGUGACAAGUAGCGGUGAAAUGCAUAGAUAUGUCACAGAACACCAAUUGCGAAGGCAGCUUACUAUGGUUUAAUUGACGCUGAGGCACGAAAGCGUGGGGAUCAAAC